rnacentral:rRNA from 1 species
CACGUAGGGUGCAAGCGUUAAUCGGAAUUACUGGGCGUAAAGCGUGCGCAGGCGGUUGUGUAAGUCAGGUGUGAAAUCCCCGGGCUUAACCUGGGAACUGCAUUGGUGACUGGCAGGCUUUGAGUGUGGCAGAGGGAGGUAGAAUUCCACGUGUAGCAGUGAAAUGCGUAGAGAUGUGGAGGAAUACCGAUGGCGAAGGCAGCCUCCUGGGCCAACACUGACGCUCAUGCACGAAAGCGUGGGGAGCAAACAGG